UACGGAGGGGGCUAGCGUUGUUCGGAAUUACUGGGCGUAAAGCGCACGUAGGCGGAUGCUCAAGUCAGGGGUGAAAUCCCGGGGCUCAACCCCGGAACUGCCUUUGAUACUGGGUGUCUGGAGGACGGGAGAGGCGAGUGGAAUUCCGAGUGUAGAGGUGAAAUUCGUAGAUAUUCGGAGGAACACCAGUGGCGAAGGCGGCUCGCUGGCCCGUUUCUGACGCUGAGGUGCGAAAGCGUGGGGAGCAAACAGG
rnacentral:rRNA from 1 species